AACGCUCCCCAGAAAGUACGUUUUUCCUAUGUCUGGAAGACAUUGACUGGCUUGGAUUUUCAUUACAUUUUCUCUGGAAUUUCUCUGAGAAAUAUUCCUCUGGGUCAUGCUUCAAGGGCUUCCAGUGCUCCUGUGUUGCUUUAAGAUCCGGACCUGUCAUGAAAUCCCAUUGCCUGUUGCCCACCCUGCUCUUCCUGAUUUGAUUGAUAAGAUACGGAAAACAGACCACGUGGAAGACUUUUUGGAAAUACCCGCAGGGAUGCUUAAGUGCAGACACUUGGAUGUGUGCCAGCAAUGCAUGUUAUGUGGAAGCCUAUGGAGAGACUGCUGGAGAGGUA